CUAGUAUGAAUGGCAUCACGAGGACUUAACUGUCUCCCUAAUUUAAUCAGUGAAACUGAUCUUCCUGUGAAAAAGCAGGAAUAACUUAAUAAGACGAGAAGACCCUAUGGAGCUUAAAAUCUAUAUCUACCUAUAUUUUCUGUUAAUAAAAUACCACUAAUUUAUAGACUUAGAUAAAGUUUUUGGUUGGGGCGACAAUGGAGAACAACUUAUCCUCCAUGAAGAAAAACUUUGAGUUACCACUCUUAGUAAUAGCAAGCCUAACUUAAAUUGAUCCAAAUUUUUUGAUCAACGGAACAAGUUACCCUAGGGAUAACAGCGCAAUCCAUUUCAAGAGUUCAUAUCGACAAAUGGGUUUACGACCUCGAUGUUGGAUUAGGACAUCCUAGUGGUGCAGCCGCUACUAAGGGUUCGUUUGUUCAACGAUUAAAGUCCU
rnacentral:rRNA from 1 species